rnacentral:rRNA from 1 species
CCUGCUCAAUAGAACGACCCGCGAACGAGUUAUCAAUAACGCCGGGAGGGGACGAGGAUGCCUUAGUGCCCCGAGCCCCCUCCCAAAGCCCGAGUGUGCGCGUGCCCGUUGAUNUGCCUUACCUUAGGGUCGGGCAAGGUCNCGGAUGCCGUCGCUCGUGGCCUAACAACGAACCCCCGGCGCGAAUCGCGCCAAGGAACCAUGAAUGAAAAGGGCACCGCUGUGUCUCCUUUUCUUGCGAAACAUCUAAAACGACUCUCGGCAACGGAUAUCUCGGCUCUCGCAUCGAUGAAGAACGUAGCGAAAUGCGAUACUUGGUGUGAAUUGCAGAAUCCCGUGAACCAUCGAGUCUUUGAACGCAAGUUGCGCCCCAAGCCCGUUAAACGGCCGAGGGCACGUCUGCCUGGGUGUCACGCAUUGUCGUCCCCUCCAAUGACCCAUCGGGUCGUGGGGACGGAGAUUGGCCUCCCGUGCGCUCCUNGCUCGCGGUUGGCCNAAAACUGAGUCCGCGGCGAUGAUGGCGCCACGACAAUCGGUGGUAAUGCCUGCGAGCGUGCCUCGUCUCUGGUCGUGUGCGCCUUUCGCCCGUCGGGACCCUCGGACCCUCCAUGCGUCGCUCGAACGAUGCUCGCAUCGCGACC